CGAGAGAGGAGGUACAAAAUAAGAAGUGUCCUAAAGCUGAAUAAAACUGUUCUGUUGUUUACCAAAAGGAUCAUUCUUUAACAGGAAUGGCUACCCAACCCUCUAUCUACCUAUCAGGCCAUCACUAGUUCAAGAAUAGAUGUACAUGUACAGUACAUGUAUAUAAUACAUGUAUAUGUAGAGUACAUACUAUAAAGUACUGACAUAGUAUAAUGAUGAGUUUGCUAUGUCAAUAAUGAUAGUCAUCAUCACACUCACACAGUCAGCACAACAUGUUAUGUGAUAUGAUUAACAUGCUUAUCGGUCUUGCUCAGCAUAAGCCACACACCCUCUCAGUGGGACACUACCAGGGAAACCCCCUUGCUGACGAUAGCCGAUCAACAUGUCAACAACUAUCGUGCUGCAAUUUCAUUGGUCAGUUGAGGGGCUGUACCAGGGAAACCACCUAACAGUAGAAUAUAUUGCAAUACAUUCACAGAGUGACGUCAGUUAUAGUUCAGUACUAGUGUCUAAUAGCUGCUGGUGAAUAGAGGAAUCUGAUUGGCCGGAAGGUUGCUAGCUCCGAUAAUUAUAACCAAAUAUGGUAAGUCAUUUAGUUAAUGAGAUGCACCCUCCCUCUCGGCUAAGCCAGCCGGAAGAGAGAGGUUAUAAAAGUACGAGAGAGAAGGAUCAGUAGUUAUUGGAUAGUUCAAAAUACUUCGAAGUAUUAGAAAAAGAAAAGAAAUAGUUUCGACAAAGAAAAGUCAAAAGAGUCAGUAUUGCUAAUAGUUGCUCAUUAUUCUAGUUUAGUAGACAAUCAAGAUGUGCAAAGAGUGCUCUGUAUCAGGCUGUGGUACAAAAAAGGACAAAGUAGCUGAUGGGAAGUGGUAUAAUUGUCAAGAAAAGCAUAGAUUCUGCAAUGAUCACCAAAAUAAAAAAUACUGCCCUAAACAUCCCAGUCAGCCACAUAAAUGAUCUCUAAGGAACAAGCUGGUUGAAGUUGAACAAAACUCUUUAACUUUUUUACUACUGAUCCUUCUCUCUUUUACAUUUUCAGAGUGUACUCAUACAUGUAGUUUGAACAUUAUUAUUAUACUGAUACCAUCCCUCUCUCCUUCCCUUUAUUUCAUGUAGUCUUUAGAUAAAGUUUGUGAUGGUUGCAAAAAGAAGGCAACAGUUAAAA